rnacentral:lncRNA from 1 species
UCUGUCUGCAAGAUGGGAGGCUUUGAUCCCUUCCUUGGGCAACCCCAGCAUUGCUGCCCUUGUCACGCUCUGUGGCAUCAUCACUGCCUCGCUGCAGAGCCUGUGCCUCUGGCUAAGGGCAGGAGCCCAUCCCUUCUCCGCACUGGGCCGGGCCUGGUGGGAUAUACUGGUUCCCACCGCCACACAGCCAUGGUAUGCAGGAUUCGAACAUUCAGAGGAGAGGGCCUGGGGGCGGUCAGGCUCUGGAGCCCUCACCCUGGGAGUGCCUUUGGGGUCCUAGGAGGAAAGGGGUCCUUGUCCAAGAUCCCACAGCUAGCUCGGUCAAGCUGACCCGGGAAUCCGGGGACUUGCUGUUCUGCAAAACCACCAGAAACUAGGGUAAUUCUUUUCCAUGUUUUUCUGCAAACGCCCCCUAGUUUCAGGCCCGCAUCUGGGCUGCCAGUCUCUAGCCUCCCACCCUCUCCCUCCCCUCUCCUGCUGGCUUGAGGACCACCCCAAGCCC